GAUGAACGCUGGCGGUAUGCUUUACACAUGCAAGUCGUACGAGAGUUUUUAACUCAAGUGGCGGACGGGUGAGUAACACGUAAGAAUUUGCCUUUAGGAGGGGGACAACAGUUAGAAAUGACUGCUAAUACCCCAUAUGCUUUCGAGUGAAAUGGAUUUUUCCGCCUAGAGAGAAGCUUGCGGCUGAUUAGCUUGUUGGUGAGGUAAUGGCUCACCAAGGCGACGAUCAGUAUCUGGUUUGAGAGGACGAUCAGACACACUGGAACUGAGACACGGUCCAG
rnacentral:rRNA from 1 species